rnacentral:tRNA from 1 species
UGGCGGAAUAGCUCAGCUGGCUAGAGCAUACGGUUCAUACCCGUAGUGUCAGGGGUUCGACUCCCUUUUCCGCUAG